rnacentral:rRNA from 1 species
UACGUAGGGUGCGAGCGUUAAUCGGAAUUACUGGGCGUAAAGCGUGCGCAGGCGGUGAUGUAAGACAGAUGUGAAAUCCCCGGGCUCAACCUGGGACCUGCAUUUGUGACUGCAUCGCUGGAGUGCGGCAGAGGGGGAUGGAAUUCCGCGUGUAGCAGUGAAAUGCGUAGAUAUGCGGAGGAACACCGAUGGCGAAGGCAAUCCCCUGGACCUGUACUGACGCUCAUGCACGAAAGCGUGGGGAGCAAACAGG